rnacentral:rRNA from 1 species
UACAGAGGUCUCAAGCGUUGUUCGGAUUCAUUGGGCGUAAAGGGUGCGUAGGCGGCGCGGUAAGUCGGAUGUGAAAUCUUGGAGCUUAACUCCGAAACUGCAUUCGAUACUGCCGUGCUUGAGGACUGGAGAGGAGACUGGAAUUUACGGUGUAGCGGUGAAAUGCGUAGAUAUCGUAAGGAAGACCAGUGGCGAAGGCGGGUCUCUGGACCAUAACUGACGCUGGAGAACACGAAAAGCGUGGGUAGCAAACAGG